rnacentral:lncRNA from 1 species
GCACACACAACAUAAAUCUCUAUUUCUAAGUGAGGGACAAGGAAACCAUGUAAAAGAACCUUCCCAAUUACAUCCAGUGUCCAAAUCUAUAUUAACGGGUCAUGUGACGGACAAGGAAACCAUGCUAAAGAACCUUUCCAAUUCUAGAGUCCUAAUCUAUAUUCACGGGUCUGUACCAUGUCAAAUGUUUAUCGAUAUUUCAUAAUGAGACAAGAUAUUCGUAUCUGAAUGAAGCUACUUUGAAAAUAAAGAACAAUAAAUUAUCUAUAUUGUAGGCAAUAUUAAGUUUAGUAACAUAUAAUCGAUUGUUCAAGAACCAUCCAAUAAAUAACUGUAAAUGUAUGAGACUUGUCGAUCUUAUCAAAACAAACCACACCAACAAUCUCAAUUUACAAGUAACAAACAACGAAUCCAUAUAAAUAAUACAUUCACAAUUGUAAGAAUCAAAACUAGUUUGUUUGAACAGAACCUCCAAAGCCAUGGGAUUAUUUGGAACUUCACAAACAAAGAAAUGGCAUCAAAGCAUUAGUUGGGAUUUUCAAGUUCUAUGUAGGCAAGUUCACAACAGUACCAACUGCCAGCCAUCUUUGCAAAUAAUCAAUAAUGAAUUCAUUUUGAAAGUCAAUUAAAAUGCUUACCUGUAGAAUUAACAGAUGAGGAAUUAAUGCCCAGUGAACCUUCUGAAACUAGUGUGACAAUUAUUCUGAAACACAAGUUCGAUGACUGAAAAAAAUAAGAGAAAACUGUAAAGAAAUGGUUUGGGAAAAUAAGAAAAACUUACAACUAAUAACCAUAGAUGGAAAUCUCUGACAUGGUUAUCCAUAUGUUUGAUAACAUACAAAUAUCCAUGUUAUAAAAUUCAUACAAUUUCCGAUAAAAAUCAUAUGCGUACGACAAUACAGAUGGGUAUAAGUGCAAACUGACUCAACCAUGAAACCAUCCAUAAAUUUUUAUAAAAGACUAAUUAACUUAUUUGAGAAAUAUACAAACAUAUCCAUCCAAUUUGUGUUUUACCCCAACAGAUAUAUGAUACAGGAGCAGAAUGUGCAUGAGAAAUAUAAUUAAUGAUUUCUGAACAUCCUUCACAGUGCCUUACGAAAAUAAAAACAUUGUUUACAUAGAAAACCUAUUUAAUGGGGAUGGAAUCAUUUAAAAAAAUUGAUUAAAAGAAAAAAAGUACUCAAACCAAAACAAGGUUUUAACCUCGAAAAAGAUAGCCUGGAUUUCUUGAAUUUUUUUAAAGAUAAAAGCCAAAGUGAUCUAUGGUAUUUAAAUCCCAUGAAAAUUUCCAAUACAGUGAAGUAAGAAACAGAUAUUUUAGUCAUGGCACUACGUAAUAAUAAAUUACAUAUCAAAAAGUAAAAGGCAAUGGCUAAUAUAAUGCCACUACUCUCGGAAUACAUCUGUUUUCCUUCCCCAUUAUGAAAAGCAUUUAUUUUCAAAUUACUGUAACACAGCACAAGCUCUAGAAUGAAUAGUUAGAUAUAGUUAGAUCAUUUUUGUAAAACAAUAAUGAACAAGACAUCACGAUUAACCACAACUAAGUAACUAAAUCAAUCAAUUUAUGUAACUAGUAAUACUCGUUUUGUAGCUUGGCAUAAUGGCAAAGUACACAAAUUCUGUAAAAUCAAGUAAAUAAAUCUAGUUUAAAUAGUUAAAAUUUUCAGUGCCUAGAAGUUCUUAGAAAUAAACUGUGCAAACAUCAUACUCCUUCAUUUCUCGUACAAAGAAAAACACACAUUAUUAAGAUCAUUAUGUUUCUUAGAAUGACAAAAAUAUUCUCUCAAUCAUAAAUGAUAAAAACAAUUUCGCUGUCCACACAAUAUAAGUUAAUUAAAAAGUUUACCUAUAAAAGCUUUAAAGAAAGGAAUCACAAAAAUAACGUAUAAGAAAGAAAUCAAUGCCUGGGAAUAGAAGUAGAAAGCCCCCACAAACUAGAAGGAGAUGGUGAGUUAUAUAUGUUCAGAUGUGCAAGCCUUCUGAAAUUGGUAUUACUCCUGUCCUGACACAUAAGUUCUAUGACUGAAAGGGAUAAAAGAAAACAGUAAACAAAAAAGAUUUGGGGAACUAAGAAAAUCUUACAACUAAUUACCCAUAGAUGGACAUCCCUAUCUUGGUUAUCCAUGUGUUCGCUAAGAUCAAAAUAUUCAUUUUAACCCAACUACAAAUACAGUGAUAAUCAAAUUCAAACAAUUACUUGAAAAAAUUGUAUGCAUAUACAGAUGAAGAUAAUUUGCAUACUGUCUCAACCAACCUUGAAAAAUAAGGACUAAAAUAUUAAGGAAACAAUACAUGAAACCAUCCAUAGACUUCUACAAAAGACUAAUUAACUUGUUUCAGAAAUAUACAAACAUAUAUGCAAGAAAUUUGUAUUUUACCUCAAUAGACAUAUGUUAUACGACUGGAUUUGUCUGUUUCAAAUUGAACGUCAAAAUAAACGAUGCUAAAACUUGGAGAAAUUUAUAAAAAAAUUACAUAAGUACUCUAACUAUAAAUACAAUUCUACUGUAGCAAACUUACUAAAUUCCCUAAGCCUUAAAUGUAAUAUUAAGAAAUAUAAAAAAAAAACUACAGAGGGGUUAAUGCUAUAAAAAUGUUAUUUAAGUAGAAAAUAAUAAAAAAUUUAAAUGAUGACAUUUGAGAAAAAUAUUUAAAAUAUAAAAGCAGUUUUAAAAAUAUCUAAGACAAAGAUGAGCAGUAUAAAAAUGUCAAUACUAAUGAUGUUUAUAAUGAAAUGUAUCAUCAAAAAGCAAGGUGUAAAAAAGAUUUUAAAAUUUUUUGAAAAAAAAAGUACAAAAAUACAGAAAGAGCACUAAAAUAUUUUAAAAAAUAAAACAUUUAAAAUAAUAAUAAGUGAUGUUUAUAAAAUAUAUGAAGUAUUUUAUACGGGAUAAGUUAAUAAAAAUAACAAUCACUUUGAAAGUAAAAUAGAAUUUUAAAAAGAAUAUAAUAAGGUCUAAAUUCAAGGUUGAAAAAAAUAUAUAAAAGUGUAGAAUGUAUUGUUUGGAAAAGUAAAAAUUAUCAUUAUAAACAAUAACAAAAACAAAUUAUAAUAUUCCAAUAAAAUCAUUUAAAUAUGUAAAAAUAAUGUUUAAAAAAUAAAAUGAUGAGAACUAUAAAUAAAUGCUUCAAAAACAUAGAAGUAAAAAGAGUAAUGCUAUGAAUACAGGAUGAAAUUUAAAAAAUAAAAUUUAUGAUAUUGAAUAAAAUAUGUAAAAUGCAUGCAAGAAAUUUAAAUGUUUAAAAAAUUAAAAUAAUAUAAACGUACAUAGUGUAAACAAAAUUGAAAUAUGAAUAGGUAUUGUUUUUAAAAUAAAGUAAAAUUGAAAAAAAGAAUAAAAUUUUCAAAAAAACUCUAUUUAUAUAAAAACAUUUAAAAAGGUAAAAAUAGUAAUAAGACAGGUAAAAUGUUGAGAUGGAUAAGUCCAUACUAAAAAAAUAAGAAUGUCGAUAAGAGAGUAGAUUUUACUCACUUUUUUAUAUGAUCGAGAUAGACCCAAUCAUUCAAAAUUCAAAAACUAACCUCCCAAUUUCAAGCAACAAUCAUCCCAUCGCGAACAUAAUUUGAUUUCGUUAAAAAGAACAACAAAUAUCAAAACAAUUAUCACAGUCUCACGUCCUAAUAGUCUCGGCAAUCCCACAAUCCAAUAUUGCACAUUUUGGGUCAUCAAAUAAUAUUUCCCCAAAAAAUAGAGAAAACAUUCUACUUCAAUUAUACUAACCCUCAAUAAGCUCAAGCAAGCAAUCCCCGAGUCUGACCCUUUUUCAAGAAUCAAUAAUAUCUCAAUUUUAAUUUAAACCAAGGGGUUCAAAUCUCAAAUAUACUAAUUUGCCACCUUCAAAUUAAGAAAUAAAAUUCCAACUGUUCUGGUCACCCAUAAUUCCAUGGCAAUUUAUAUAUACAUUGUUCCUCUUUUAAUCUUUUGAGAUGUCUUUUAAAAACAAAACCGUAACAAAACUCUUAUUUAAAAAAAAAAAACAUACUCAUAUGGGAUAAUUAACUCUAGCGAUAUCUAUCUUAACAAACUUGAGGUCGAAAAACAAUGUGGGACAAUCAUGCCUUAUCAGGAAAGUCCACAAUUUCCAAAUAAUCCAUAAUGCAUCCAUCUAAAGCGUAUUAGCAAUAUUAAGUUUGCAAAUGCAUUCAUGGGAUUUUAGGGUCUUACCAAGGCAAACACACAACAUAAAUCUCCAUUCCUAAGGGAGGAACAAGGAAACCAUAAAAAAGAACCUUCCCAAUUACAUCCAGUGUCCAAAUCUAUAUUCACAUGUCAAUAAUCCAUAAUGAAUCCAUCUAAAGCGCAUUUGCAAAUACAUUCAUGGGAUUUUAGGGUUUUAUCGACAAAACGACAACAUAAAUCUUUAUUUCUAAGUGAGGGACAGGGAAACCAAGUAAAAGAACCUUCCCAAUUACAUAUAGGGUCCAAAUCUAUAUUCACGGGUCAAGAAUCCAUAAUUAAUCCAUCUAAAACGCAUUUGCAAUAUUAAGUUUUCAAAUGCAUUCAUGGGAUUUUAGGGUCUUAUCCAGGCAAAACUACAACAGAGAUCUCUAUUUCUAUGUGACGGAAAAGGAAACCAUGUAAAAAAACCUUCCCAAUUACAUCCAGGGUCCAAAUCUAUAUUCACGGGUCUGUACCAUGUCAAAUGUUUAUCGAUAUUUCAGUAUGAGACAAGAUAUUUCGCGGGAAGAACCUCCAAGACAUGGAAUAGUAUAAAUGAUACAUAGUAUACAAAUAACAUUUAAAUAUUUGAUACUAAGAAGAGAAUCCAAGGUGGAAAUUUAAAGGAAUCCCACGUAGAAAGCGUUUUCAACAGUGUAAUAAAAGAUAAGAUAUUGGAGGAAUUUAGGGUUUAUAUCAUUCGUAUACAUUGUAACAUAAUCCAUAUGCCAGUGCUCAAAGAUUUCACUAAUUCAACACAAGAUUUUAUAACGCGCAAAUCGCAAACCUCAUAUUUUCAAUAAGAAACCCCAAAACACAAUCUUUAAGACACGAACACUAUACUUUAACCUCACGAAUCCAGAAAACGAAUAAUUAUAUAACCAAUUAAUUUGUAAAGUAUGCCUUACAAAUCGUGAAACCGUUGUCCUCUCCUCUCCUUCGUUGGCCUCUCACUCGCCGGCGUAUAGGGUUCCUUCUACUCUGGUGCAACUUUCUUAUCACUCUUCUUCAUUUCUCUCUUCUUUCUUUUACUCCAUGUUUACCCGCCCCGAUGAUGGUGGCGUGCGUGAAGAUGAGACGGACGCAAACGAAAUGGAGAUGAAAAAAUCACAAGGGUUUCAGAGGAAGGAGUUGGGGCUUUAGGGUUCUGUGAUUUCGAGGGAAAUGCAAAUUCGGAAUGAUAAGGGUGCCGAUUUGAGGAAUUAGUGGGAGGGAAUUUGGACAAGAAGUAGGAUAGAAUUUUUUUCUUUCUUUUCUUUUUAAUUUAUAAAACUU